GAUGAACGCUGGCGGCGUGCCUAAUACAUGCAAGUCGAGCGAACAGACGAGGAGCUUGCUCCUCUGACGUUAGCGGCGGACGGGUGAGUAACACGUGGAUAACCUACCUAUAAGACUGGGAUAACUUCGGGAAACCGGAGCUAAUACCGGAUAAUAUAUUGAACCGCAUGGUUCAAUAGUGAAAGACGGUUUUGCUGUCACUUAUAGAUGGAUCCGCGCCGCAUUAGCUAGUUGGUAAGGUAACGGCUUACCAAGGCAACGAUGCGUAGCCGACCUGAGAGGGUGAUCGGCCACACUGGAGCUGAGACACGGUCCAGACUCCUACGGGAGGCAGCAGUAGGGAAUCUUCCGCAAUGGGCGAAAGCCUGACGGAGCAACGCCGCGUGAGUGACGAAGGUCUUCGGAUCGUAAAACUCUGUUAUUAGGGAAGAACAAAUGUGUAAGUAACUAUGCACGUCUUGACGGUACCUAAUCAGAAAGCCACGGCUAACUACGUG
rnacentral:rRNA from 1 species